rnacentral:rRNA from 1 species
GACGAACGCUGGCGGCGUGCCUAAUACAUGCAAGUCGAACGCAGUUGCGAACGGGUGAGUAACGCGUAGGUAACUGCCUCAUAGCGGGGGAUAACUAUUGGAAACGAUAGCUAAUACCGCAUACUGUGAGAUGGCCCUGCGUUGUAUUAGCUAGUUGGUGAGGUAAAGGCUCACCAAGGCGACGAUACAUAGCCGACCUGAGAGGGUGAUCCGCCCCACCGGGACUGGGGCACGGCCCCGACUCCUACGGGAGGCAGCAGGAGGGAAUCAUCGGAAAUGGGCGGCAGUCUGAACGAGCAACGCCCGGGGAGGGGAGGAGGGUUUCGGGUCGUAAAGCUAUGUUGUUAGAGAAGCGGUAACUACCCAGAAAGCGACGGCUAACUACGUGCCAGCAGCCGCGGUAAUAC